UGGGGAAUCUUGCGCAAUGGCCGAAAGGCUGACGCAGCGACGCCGCGUGUGGGAGGAAGCUCUUCGGGGUGUAAACCACUGUUGCCCGGGACGAACACACCUAUUCGUAGGUGCUGACGGUACCGGGUGAGGAAGCACCGGCUAACUCUGUGCCAGCAGCCGCGGUAAUACAGAGGGUGCGAGCGUUGUCCGGAAUCACUGGGCGUAAAGGGCGCGUAGGUGGUGGCUUAAGCGUGCGGUGAAAGCUCGGAGCUCAACUCCGAGUCGGCCGUGCGAACUGGGCUCACUGGAGCAUAGUAGAGGCAGGUGGAAUUCCGGGUGUAGCGGUGGAAUGCGUAGAGAUCCGGAAGAACACCGGUGGCGAAGGCGGCCUGCUGGGCUAUGGCUGACACUGAGGCGCGACAGCGUGGGGAGCAAACA
rnacentral:rRNA from 1 species